GACGAACGCUGGCGGCGUGCUUAACACAUGCAAGUCGAACGGAAAGGCCCUGCUUUUGUGGGGUGCUCGAGUGGCGAACGGGUGAGUAACACGUGAGUAACCUGCCCUUGACUUUGGGAUAACUUCAGGAAACUGGGGCUAAUACCGGAUAGGAGCUCCUGCUGCAUGGUGGGGGGUGGAAAGUUUCGGCGGUUGGGGAUGGACUCGCGGCUUAUCAGCUUGUUGGUGGGGUAGUGGCUUACCAAGGCUUUGACGGGUAGCCGGCCUGAGAGGGUGACCGGCCACAUUGCGACUGAGAUACGGCCCAGACUCCUACGGGAGGCAGCAGUGGGGAAUAUUGCACAAUGGGCGGAAGCCUGAUGCAGCAACGCCGCGUGCGGGAUGACGGCCUUCGGGUUGUAAACCGCUUUCGCCUGUGACGAAGCGUGAGUGACGGUAAUGGGUAAAGAAGCACCGGCUAACUACGUG
rnacentral:rRNA from 1 species